UACGAAGGGGGCUAGCGUUGUUCGGAAUCACUGGGCGUAAAGCGCACGUAGGCGGACUUUUAAGUCAGAGGUGAAAUCCCAAGGCUCAACCUUGGAACUGCCUUUGAUACUGGGAGUCUUGAGGUCGAGAGAGGUGAGUGGAACUGCGAGUGUAGAGGUGAAAUUCGUAGAUAUUCGCAAGAACACCAGUGGCGAAGGCGGCUCACUGGCUCGAUUCUGACGCUGAGGUGCGAAAGCGUGGGGAGCAAACAGGG
rnacentral:rRNA from 1 species